UUUUUCUAAAGGAUACAGAAUAACUAUUAAAUAUGUAGAGAAUUUGCAAAAUUCAUCCACCUAAACCAUUUCCAGGUUUUAUACUCGUAUAUUGUUUAACUGAUGACAAAACAUUAACAUAUUUUACUUUACGAGAUCAAAUAUCAAAAGAAUUGUUUAUAAUAACCAAAUUUCAGUCCAACCAACUACAAUGACGAAGCAGACAAUGUUAAACGUUGGCGAAAAUCAAUGAAAAAAUCAAAAAUUACUAAAAUAUGUUCUAAUUUACCAAA